UACGACCUCAGCUCAGAC
rnacentral:rRNA from 5 species